UCGCCUCUUGCAACAAUCAAGUAUAAGAGGUCCCGCCUGCCCAGUGACUAAUUUCAACGGCCGCGGUAUCAUGACCGUGCAAAGGUAGCGUAAUCACUUGUCUUUUAAAUAAAGACCUGUAUGAAAGGCAAAACGAAAGUUCAACUGUCUCUUUAAUCCAAUCAAUAAAAUUUAUCUCUCCGUGCAGAAGCGGAAAUAAAUAUAUAAGACGAGAAGACCCUAUGGAGCUUUAAACACACUAUUAACUACUACAAUAUUUUAAACCAACAGGCAAAAAAUCAUAAACCACAUAGUCAUAAUAUAAGUUUUAGGUUGGGGCGACCGCGGAAGAAAAAAAAUCCUCCGAGAUAAACAAUUUAGAAUAACACUUCGAAAAUUAAAACAUUUAUUAUAAAUGAUCCACUAAGUGACCAACGAACCAAGUUACCCUAGGGAUAACAGCGCAAUCCUUUCUAAGAGUCCGUAUCGACGAA
rnacentral:rRNA from 1 species